UUUCCAUGCCCUGGGUCACAAUGGAUGUGAGGGGCUCUGCAUGCCGGCCAGCGGCCCUUCGUGUCAUUUGGUUACCAGAGUCUCCUGGGAAGUCCAGGCUGCCCUGUUUGCUGUUGACUGUAGAUUCAGGAUUCUUUGGUUGGAAUGGAGAAAGACACCUCCCCCAGCCUUGGUGUCUAGGGCCACCUCUGGGGAAGAUGUGAUCUGUGGCCACUCACACAGGCACUUUGUCCAGAGGGUCCUCCAAGGCCACUGCAGAGGUACUGGGACCCAUUGAGCCUAGAGAGGCUGUCCUGUUUCUGAGGUCCUUGAGAAAUCUGGACAGGACAUCUAGGGUAAGAUCUUCAAAGCCAAGUCUGGGGUGGUAAGGGAUCCUGGUACCAAGUGACCUCCAGAGGACAGUGGCCUCCAGUCUCUGCAGAAGUGGGUUCCAGGCCUGGGCAUUUGGCAUCCCCUAGACCUACUUCUUCCCAUUGGGGUGGCACAUGGACCCAUAGACAGCUGCUGCUGGGACUUGCCCUGUUGGUUGCCAUCUUUUGAAGUCUCUGCUGUAGAGCCCUUGGCUCAUUGCACUACUGUGAUGCAGUCUGGUUUGUGUUCAGAAUGUCACAAUAAAUAUGCAUUCCUCCCCUGCCCCUAGCUUGUACUGUGGCGUCUGUCUCCAGUGGUGAUUAACAAAAGCCAGAGGCCCUGUGGAAGCUUUGGGGAGGAGGCUGGAACAAUUGAAGUACCAA